CACGAAUUAACAUAGUCAGCGCAGGUUAAUCACAUAAGUUGAGGAUGAGUUAAUUAUCAGUCUAUUAUUUGUAUGAAAGCUGUCCAACUAGUCAACAGUGGAGAGGGAGAGGGAGGUGUAGUGUGUGCGGAAAAAGAAUGGGAAGUGUCAAUGGAAGAAGAUGAAUGUUAUUCACAUCAAACAGUUUACUCUUUUCUGAUCCCCUCUAAGCCUGAUCCAUAGUUCCACAGACGAUCUGUUACUUCUUGACACUGCCUGAUUAACUUAUGGACAAAAGGUCGUGCUUUCUAAACAAAUAGAUCAUGAAGCCCCGUCCGCUAGCCAACUGUUGGACGAGUUAAGUCGCUAGACCCGUAGACUCCAGUUUACGGAAUGCAUGUUGGGCGGCGGACACCCGAUCCACAAAAGACGAGUAAUUCACAGCAAUCACCGUCCAACAGCAAAAGCAACAAACAACCACUAGCCUAGGUAAAUAACGGUUUCUUACCUGAUGAUUCGUGUGAAGUUUGAAGGAUAGCCGCGAUUACGGGCUCGGAAAUGUUCUCACGGAUAGAGGAGUGUGAAGUUUAUGGUACCCGCACUAGGCCUGGUCCAAUUUAUUACAGUAAACAAAAACAACUACGCCUAGGUUUUGAAUUUGAUUUGCACACCAGACCAGUCUAAUGAAAAACGUGUAUCAUGUACUAACAGAACAUUUUUAUGAACUGAAAAUUUAAAUAAAAAACAUAUUUUUCUUGCAAAUCUGUUGCGGCAAAGGAUAUCUUUCUAUAUUUUUGCUUACAAAUCUUUAAUUUUUCAGUCAUCAAUUAAUAAUUCUAGUAGUAAAAUGUCUAGAAAUCUUUGAAAACUGUUACUGUAUUUGUAAAUUCAGUACAUUUCAGACUGUAUUUAUACCUAUUAAUU